GAGAGCACAUGAUAAACAAGUUGAGGCGGUUGAGGCAUGCACACAAGGUAUGGGAUUGCUACAUAUUAUAUAUAUAUAUAUAUAUAUAUAUACUUGGCCCAAGAAUUUGAAUUCCAAUAUAUAUUUAGCCUUUGUUUACUGGUAAUCUUUUUACAUAUUUCAUCAUUUUGAAAUGAUUCAGACCCAUUCCAUACCAGAUUACCAGGCGUAGGAAAGGAGUAGGUCGGAAAAGACUAAAAGAAAAGAAAAAUCUAUACCCAACUCUGCAUCUAGAUUCUAGACCAGGUACAGAAUUAUAAAGGUGUAAAGUAAUCGACCUGGACAGUUUCAAUAUGAGAACAAAAAUACCAUGAAUCACAUCAAGCAGCAACAUACUGGACCACCCCUAAGCGUACAUAUGGCGACCUCACAAAGCACUUCUCCUUUGAAUAUGUGGCACAUCUAACCCUUUGUCCGGAUGCACACCUGGACUGACACGUGACACGUCCAACCCUCUAUUAGGACAACCAUGGGACUGACAUGCGAAACACACCUCCCCUGUCGGAAUGUCUUGCUUGGACUCAGUGGUUAGCGUCUCAAAUAAGAGUCUUGACCGCGUUUCGCAGACAAUCAUUAUUCAUUUUCCCAAAAGCAUGCUCGACAGGACUUUCCUGGGUCACUUCAGGCAACCUGCCACGACCUGUCAUGAGUCGUCUGCAGAGCAAAAAGACAAGGAUGACGACAAAUCAUCCAUCUAGCAAUCUCUAACAGUUGUCCCGAUGGUUCUACCACCCUCUAAGCAUCAUUAUGACAGCCAAAAAGUGUUUCUACCAUUCCAAGGGACAAUGCUCCUGGCACUAUAAAAAGCCCUUACCCAAUCAGAGAAGAUAAGCAUUUCGAAGGAGAAGGGCCCCAUAAAAAUAUCACAAUGUUAGAAAACAAAACUAACAAAGGCAUCGAAGGGUGUGUCCGGAUCCCCUGUUCGGACAUCUUUUGCAGGUUAAUGGAAAGAAGUAUAAUCUUUAAUUGAGGAGGCGAGUACAUCAGCAACUGCAGUGAUUCUGGUAACGUGAGCCCUCAACAAUACAAACAAGAGAUAAUGACAAUCUAGAUUGCUCUGGGGGUUCAGAAAUAUUGUCCAUCUCAAUUUUCCAUUUAAAAAAAAUUAAGAGAAUUAUAAAUAAAUAAAUAAAUAAAAAAAACACAAAUUACAACAGCAAUUUGAAGCCCAACGCCUGCAAAAUUGCAGAUCUAGAAACGCCGAUCUCAACUUUGGUACAAUCAGAAGGUACAAAUCAACCAGAAGAGAAUAACAGAGAAAAGAAAACGAAGGAAAAUUUUGCAUACCUGUAUACAUGUUGAGAGAGGGGAAAGAUGGACGCCGCCUCCAAUUCACGGCCAGCAUCACCUUUUCCUUGAUGGAUCUACCUUUCCUGCUCAAAUUUUUGGAAGAAAUUCAACUGAACAAGGAAACCCUCAGAUCUCCGGAGGAAGCACUCCCGUCUCCAACUCCAGCUGCCGAGGAAAGGCUCACAGCUCCCAUUAUAUAUAUAUAUAGAAAAGCACGUAUUUUUUUAAUACCAGGCGUUUCUAUGGCGCGUUGUAAUCACUUGCGUAAUUGAUCAGACGGGACAACAAAACAAAUUUGAAACCAGUCAACAAUACCUGUUUAGGGCAGACAAUAGAUGGCGUUUCUGUGGCGCGUUGAAAUCACUUGUGUAAUUGAUCAGACGAGACAACCAAAACAAAUUUGAAACGAACAAUACUUGUUUAGAGCAGAAAAUAGAUAAUCUCAUAAAACAAUCCAUAGUUUCAUUAUCAUCAAACUUAUAUAAAUAUAUACCGAGGAGUGAUGAAAGCAGCACAUCAAGCGCAUGCCAUCAUCACUGAUCGUAACGCAUGGCGUCAUCCUUGAUCAUACUUCUUGUUCAAAGCAAAAAACAUAAAGCAAUCCAUAGUUUCCUUAUAUAUAUAUAUAUUAAAAGUAGCAGAUGAAGUCAUGGCGGCGGCAUCAUCAUCAUCAUCAUCAUCAUCAUCAUCAUCAUCAUCUCAUCAUCAUCAUCAUCAUCAUCAUCAUCAUCAUCAUCCUUCUUGCUGAAAGCACAAAAUAGAUAAUUUCAUUAUAUAUAUAUAUAUAUAUAUAUGAGUAGGGUGCGCACUGCGCAUGAUAUCAUGGUCAUGGAGUGGAUGGGGGGCAGGGCCGAUACUGAUCUCGAUUGUCACCCCCGAUGUACGUGCAGGAGGAAGAAGCGGACGGGGGAACGGGGCCCCGUUCCAUUACAACCGCCUCCUUGUAGCCGCUAUUAACCCUCCGUGCUCCUACGAGAAUCAGCCAGAGAGAGAGUGAGAUGGAGACCCACGUCAUCACUCGCUUCAACACAUUCAUGGUGGAAAGUUGGUGCUAAAAAUACGGCAUAAGCUGGUGUUUAUAUAAACGGUAACCAUUUCCUGCAUGGAAGGUUUCAGCAGCCAUCCGCCAGUCGUUGAAAAGAUUCUACUUCACUAUCAGUCCAAUCCCACAAACUAUGAUUGGACCACCGCUUUUCACAGAUUAAUUUAAUAUUUGUAAAAGGACUGAAAACAGAAAGUUACAGAUGUGGAUGGCACUUAUUGCCACGUCAAUAUCGAUUUCAAUCCUAUCCCUUCGAGUCUUGGUUAAAUAUAUCUUACCUCUCAAAAUUUCAAUGUACUCCCUUAUUUAGAAAAAUAAUAAUAAUAAUAAUAAUUUAACCCCUCCCUCAUGACUUGUCUACUUGUCUACUUGUCUUUCAUUUAUUAUUGGCUCUCUUUAUCAAAUUUUAAGAUUACCAUUUUUUCCUAAACCAUAAUCCCAUUUCAAAUUUUUAAGCUCACCAUAUUUUUUUCUACAAGCAUAAAUAUGAGAGCAGACCAAACCCUCUGCUCGACCUUUAAUGUUAUGGUACAAAAUAAAUAUUAACUUAAAAUUUUUACGUGUAUGUGUUUCUAGAAAACACUUAUAGUGUAAAAAUUGUUUCAAGAGAAAAAUUAUAAGUUCGACAAAACUUGAAAAACACUUUUAGAUUAUAUUUUAAAUUUGUUGUAUAUGGAUUAUAAUUGUUAAAAAUAAUUAACCGUUGAAAGUAAAUUUAGCGAUUAUUAAAUUAGAGGAGAUGAUUAUUUAUAUUUGUUUAAAUUUAUCAUUAUUUAGAGAGAGGGUGAAUUUAAGUCACACAAAUCCAAGUUAAGAACAAAAGUUUUUAUUAUUUAGAGGAGAUUAUUAAUUUAUUGAAUGGUUAUUUAUUUAAAUUAAAUUAUUUAUUUAUUGAGAUUUUACAAUAUUAAAAUGGAGAUUGAAAUGGAGAGUCAUAAAUUUAUGGUAUUAAUAAGUUUAUUACUUGAAUUAUAAAUUAUUUUUAAAAAUUAUUAGACUUGAUAAUGAAUUUAUCUUAUUUAAUUUAAGAUUUAUUUGCUUAGUGAAAAAACAAUCAAGAAAUAAUAAUGUUAUAUAGAAGAAAAAAAUUAGAGUUGUUUUAAAUCAAUUUUUGUUCAUAAAUUUAUGAUAUUAAUAAGUUUAUUAUUUAAAUUUUAAAUUAUUUUUAAAAAUUAAUAGAUUUGUUAACAAAUCCAACAUUAAGUUUGAUUUAAUGUGGAGUUAAUUUGUCUAAUAAAAAAAAUCAAAAAUUAACAAUUUCAUGUAAAAGAAAAUAAUAGAGUAUAUGUUUUAUUUUUAUUUUUAAAAAAUUUCGUCCAAUAGGCUUUAGACAGCCAAAAAUGGGUGCGUAGACAUCCUUUCAGCCUUUCUACUUUCUUGAUUGUGUCUUUAUAUGUUUGUCUGUUUUUCCUGGUUUGGAUAGUGUUCACAAUAAUUGUUUUUAUUUUUAUUUUUUUAAGUUUAAAGUAUUUCAGAGUAACCGACCUUGUAAUUUUUUAAGUUUGAAGUAUUGCAGAGAAACCCACUUUUUAUUUGUGUUUAUUUAUUUAUUGGUUUUAAAAUUGCUGACUAAUUUUAAAAAUAAUAAAAUUUAUUUAUUUUAAUGUUAUCAUUGAAUAUACUCUAUUUUAUAUUUAUUGGUUCACGCCUGCACCCCGGGUGACCAUUAGGACAAUUAUGCAUUUUAAUAAAUAACAUGCACCCACAUACACAUAGGAAAAAGUGGGUUUUUGAAAAAACAAACAUAUGAAAAGAGAAGCUCUAACUUUCAGUUAAAGUUGUACGGUUUGAAACCUAUCCUGAUUGAUAGUACAGCCAAAAAUGGGUGCGCAGGGCAGAUGUGAACCACAACCUCUCUCUUUUACUCCAUUUAGGAUAUGUGUUCACCCUUUUAUAUACUUUGUAAGCAAGACUAGUUUAUUUUUUAUUUUUUUGUAGAUGACUUACUGUUGUUGGAUAGAGAUGUAAUUUGCAAUUUUGUGGACAGGAUUCAUCCACAUUUCUCAUCUCAGCCCAAUCCAAACUUAAAUACCCCAAGUUGGAUCAGGACUGCAAUUGCUUAUUUUGACUUGGAUUUGAAUUAACUGCUAUAACCAGCCCAAUUUGCCUCUCAAGGAGGGAUUUAAGCCAUGGCCAGGGGCUUUAGAAUCUUUGGAACCAUAACUAAAUUCAAUUAACCUGAACCCUUAUAUCUUGUUGUACUUAAUUCUGUCUACUCUAGGGCUAGAUUUCUUGAUAAACUAACCUGUUUCAUCCAAUCAACUUCAACAUAACUCACUAACAUGAGUUUAAUUUGAUUUCUUACAGGGUGUUGAUCCAAUGACUUCAAAAGAAUUGAGCGAGAAGCCGUAUGAGGUGAAAAUCUCAUGUGCGGUUCUGUAGAGUGGCAGUAAGGGUGACUUAUUUGUCAACUUUUCCACUAUCACCCCCAAAAAACCAAACUCUGUCUUACGUAAAGUUGUCAGAAUACGAUUAACCUCUGAAUUUGAAAUCACUUCACAGAUACAACCUUUGUAACUUCAUGGUAUACCCAUGAAUUGACUAGUUUCUAUUUGAAAGGUUGCAAUUUCUUAACUGCCAUAGUUUCUACCCUUGCUAAUAGUUUAACACAUUCUUUAUUGUUUCUAUAGGGUCCUGAAGCACAAGGAGAUUUUACUCGUUGAUAUACCAACCUAUUUCAGGGUGUCUUCGAAACAGCUUUGCCGUUUCAGGCUGAUGAUAUUGCAGACCCUAAAUCUAUUAUUGUGAGUAGAGUUUGUUAAGUGCAGCCGUGUAACAACAUUGUUCUUAAAACCUCGGGAUGGAUCACCCAAACGAAGGCUCAUGAUGUUUCACCUACCCUAUCACCAAUUGGUUUCUAGAUAGAAUGGUCGAAACCCGAUCCAAGAGAAUUCAAACCUGAAAAAAAUUCCCAAACUUGAAAUUUGUAUUAACUCCCAAGAAUGAAAUUAUUCUCUCCUGUCUUCUUAAGUUGGACGCCAUCCAUUUCACAUGGAGGAGCAAAGGCCACAAUCAGUGGGCUUUGUUGGUAUUCUUUUACCCCUAAAUAAUGAUGAAGUUUAAAGAGUUUCUCAUUAUGAUCUAGUAUGGGAGCUGAGCGCUUCUUUGGAUCAGGUCUGUUUUGCCUGCCAAAAGCUCAAAAAAAUAAAACGGUAAAGCUAGGUUUGGCUCCCAAAAAUAUUUUAAAAAAUAAAAAUAAAUAAAUAAAUAAUAUAUUUAAAAUAAAAAAAUAAUUUUUAUAUAUUACUUUAAACUUAUUUAACUUAUGUAAUCUUCCAAUAUAAAGAUUAAAUAAUUUAAAAAUAUAUAAUUUUCUUACUGUUAAUUAUAUUCGACUUUCUUUUAUAUUUUCUAUGAUAUGAAAAAAUCAUUUUUCUUAUAUUUAUUUUCACUACUUUCCAUCCUAAAUCUGAUCUAAUACCCUCUAUAGACUAUCUCUUGAGCUAAGAAAAUUAAACUACAAUAUUAGAACACACUGCUCCAAUUUCAACCAAUUUAUAUCAGUUCAAUUAAUAAACAGAUUGGUCAACCAAUUGAUUCAAUUUAUUUUAUAAUUUAGGCAGUAUUCUUUUGAAGAAUUUCAAGCCAGGAUGUUGUCAAUCUUAAGAUUUUAUAAUAUUGACAGUGAUCUUUUCACACAAACUCAAGAUUGACUUUAGAUAACUGAUAACAAGUAAUGGAUAUUGAGACACUGUUCAAAUAUCAGCAGCUUCAGAAGUUGGCAUCUUGAAAAUCACCUUCAUGCAAUAGUCUAAACUUCAAAAUCCUCUGGAGAUCAGCAAUCGGUUUAGGAAACAUGGCCAAAUAGGUCCUAACCGCCUUCUUCAUCCAAACCCGAAGCUAGUAAUUUAUACACGAUUGGAGGAAUGCAGAGUAAACAUGAAAAAUGGGCAGAGCACGUGAUAAAGGGGUGUAGAUGAGAGCACACAUGAUAAUCAUGUUGAGGUAGUUGAGGCAUGCGCACAAGGUAUGGGAUUGCUACAUCUUUUAUAUAUAUACUAGGCCCAGGAAUUUGACUUCAAGUAUAUACUUAGCCUUAGUUUAGGGGUAAUCUUUUUACAUAUGUCAUCAGUUUUGAAAGGAUUCAGACCCCUUCUAUACCUGGCUUAGGAAAGGAGUACGUAGGAAAGACUGAAAGAAAAGAAAAAUCUAUACCCAACUCUGCAUCUAGACCAGGUACAGAAUCAUUAUAAAGGUGUAAAGUAAUCUACCUCAACAAUUUCAAUAUGGGACCAAACAUACCAUGAAUGACCCACCUAGCACUCUAGCAGCAACAUACAAACAGGAGAUAAUGACAGUAUAGAUUGCUCCUGGGCUUGAGAAAUAUUGUCUGUCAAUAUUCCAUUUAACAAAAUUAAGAGACUUAUUAAAUAUACCCAUUUACCAAAAGUGGGUUAUAAUACCUUGAUUUGGAAAUAAAUGUGAAAUAGGAAAUCAUAUUUUAAUAAUCCAAAAUACAUAAUAUCAUUUCAAAAUAUUUCAUAUUGGAUGCACUAAGAGCUUAGGUGUCUUUAAGUUUCAAUAAUACCCUCCCUAACAAUGGUCUGACAAAAGGAAUCACAAAAGAUAAGUGAAUGGAUGGAAAUGGAGUUUUUUUUUUCGUCAGGAAAAAGAGAAAGAAAUUAUGGGAAUGUGGGAGAGUGGACUGAGAAAAUGCCUUGAGAAGCACAGAAAUUCUGAAAAUUGGAAUCGAUUAUCGGGUACUCGCAUUCAAGAGAUUUCAUCGAACCCAUCUCUCUCAGUGUCACGUUCAAGCUUAAGAAAGUGUUGGAUUAAUUCGAGGAAAUCCACAGCCUCCAAUACUCACUGAUUGCAACUGUUUUCAUACCUUUCUCAUUAACAUGAAAGACUUAAAUACAACUGAAAAUAACAACUGACUCAAUCCACGACGCUGAUGCUGAUAUUCAGCUAACAACCCAACCUAAAGACCUAUUCUUAAGCCAAAAUACUUGGCUGUGAAUUAACGGAUGAUGCCCACGUACAAUUAUUGGACCCAAACAAUUAAAUUAAUCAACUCAACAUGACUCUGACUCAACCAAAUUAAAUAAUAAGCAACCAACAAAUUAAAUAAUAAGCAUUACACAACUGGGCCCAAGUGCACAUGACACUCAGCUCCACUACAGAGAGGUCCUCGUGCACGUUUUACCUUAAAGAGUUCUCUUCUAAAAGCUAAAUCAACGUCGUUUGCAUUUUCUGACUGUUUUUUCCCAGUGUUUUCUUCUAAUUUUUGUCUUUAUUUCUCCUCCGUCAAUCCCACAUUCCCAAGAAAAAGAUCAAACAAUAAUCCUCGAUAAUUGCCAAGAAAAAAAAGAUGAAACAUUGAUUUCAUAAAGCAAAAGAAACAUAUCAAGACAAAUCAAUAUGGAUUAAAGGGUAAAAUUAAUGCUCCAGCUUUCCGCUUACUUCUGCCACUCUCCCAGCAACCAAACAGAAAUCCCAAAAACCCAUAACACAAAUUGUGAAAAAAAAAAAAACAAUUGCCCAAGAAACAAUAGCAAGAACGUCACCGACAAUUAGGGUAAAAAUCAGACCAAAUCCAGAACGAAACAAACCGGAAAAGUUUAGAAAAAUUCUGGGGAAUUAAGGAAUGGGAAAGGGGCAAGCAACCCAUAAAAUGAAAGGAAUUACCUAAGGGCAGUAGAAAAAACGAAAAGGAUCUCAAAACAUAACAAAAGAGGAAAAACAAAAUCCUUUUAAGAAAAUUUUGACUAUUAUUUUCUGGGUAACCAAAUGGAAAACCCAAGAGAGAGAGAGAGCGCUUACCUAGGGUUCCGGGUUUUUCAGAGGGUGAGGUGAGAGCCAUUGUCGGCGCCAGUGGAAACCAGAGGGGAGAGGACGAAGGUUACCUCUUAUUUUCUUUUUCUUGAUCAAUUUUUCAUUUUUUUCUGAUACGAAAAAAGGAAAAAAAAUUUACUGGGCGGAGAUGGUGGCCAUAUCCGAUUCCACCGUCCUUCACAAAUCGUAUGAAGAAAAAGAAAAAAGAAGACAAAUUACAACAGAAAUUCGAAGCUCAAGGCCUGCAAAAUUGCAGAUCUAGAAACGCCGAUCUCAACUUUGGUACAAUCAGAAGGUAGAAAUCAACCAAAAGAGAAUAACAGAGAAAAGAAAACUAAGGAAAAUUUUGCAUAUCUGUAUACAUGUUGAGAGAGGGAAAAGAUGGACGCAGCCUCCAAUUCACGGCCAGCAUCACCUUUUCCUUGAUGGAUCUACCUUGCCUACUCAAAUUUUUGGAAGAAAUUCAACCGAACAAGGAAACCCUCAGAUCUCCGGAGGAAGCACUCCCGUCCCCAACUCCAGCUGCCGAGAAAAGGCUCACAGCACCCUUUAUAUAUAUUUGGUUGGGGAAAUAAUCCCAAAGAAAAUAUAAUCCUUCUUUUCAUUUAAAAAAAAAAAAAAAAAAACCAUUUUUUUAUAAAAGCAUGUAUACAUAUUUUUUUAAUACCACGCAUUUCUGGCGCGUUGAAAUCACUUGCGUAAUUGAUCAUACGAGACAACAAAACAAAUUUGAAACCAGCCCACAAUACUUGUUUAGAGCAGAAAAUAGAUAGCGUUUCUGUGGCGGGUUGAAAUCACUUGCGUAAUUGAUGAUCAGACGAGACAACCAAAACAAACUUGAAACUAGCCCACAGUUUAGAGCAGAAAAUAGAUAAUCUCGUAAAACAAUCACAUCAAGGGUAUAGCGUCAUCGUUGAUCGUAGCGCAUGAAGUCAUCAUUGAUUAUACUUCUUGUUCAAAGCAAAAAAACAUAAAGCAAUCCAUAGUUUCCUUAUAUAUAUAUAUAUGUAUAUAUUAAAAGUAGCAGAUGAAGUGCAUGGCGGCGGCAGCAUCAUCAUCAUCAUACUUUUUGCUCAAAGCAGAAAAUAGAUAAUCUCACAAAACAAAUAAUCCAUAAUUUCAUCAUAUAUAUAUGAGUAGGGUGCCCAUGGAAUCAUCGUCAUCGAGUGGAUGGGGGGCAGGAGGAAGAAGCGGACGGGGGAACGGGGCCCCGUUCCAUUACAACCGCCUCCUUGUAGCUGCUAUUAACCCUCCGUGCUCCUACGAGAAUCAGCCAGAGAGAGAGUGAGAUGGACAUCCACGUCAUCACUCGCUUCAACACAUUCAUGGUGGAAAGUCGAUGCUAAAAAUACGGCAUAAGCUAGUGUUUAUAUAGACCAAAAAAUGAAAACGGUAACCAUUUCCUGCAUGGAAGGUUUCAGCCGCCGUCCGCCAGUCCUUGAAAAGAUUCUACUUCACUAUCAUUCCAACCCCAGAAACUAUGAUUGGACCACCGCCUUUCACAGAUUAAUUUGAUAUUUGUAAAAGGUCUGAAAUCAGAAAGUUACUGAUAUGGAUGGCACGUCAAUAUCAAUUUCAUCUAAAUUUUUUUUUAAAAAUAAAGGAUUAACUUCAAUCAUAUCCCUUGGAGUCUUGGUUAAAUAUAUCUUACCUCUCAAAAUUUCAACGUACACCCUUAUUUUAUAAAUAAAUAAAUAAAUAAAAAACCAAAGGGAAAUGAGUUUAACCCAAAAAUUCACUUUUUUUUUUUUUUAAAUAGAUAAAAACACUGUUUCUUGCUAUUUGUUUCUGUAAAAAUAAUUUUUUAAAACUCUUCCCUUCUCACUUGUCUACUUGUCUUUCAUUUAUUAUUGGCUCUCUUUAUCAAAUUUUAAGAUUACCAUUUUUUUUUUCUAAACCAUAAUACCAUUUCAAAUUUUUAACCCGACCAUAUUUUUUUCUACAAGCAUAAAUAUGAGAACAAACCAAACCCUCUCCUCCACCUUUAAUGUUAUGGUACAAAAUAAAUAUCUUAUUAACUUAAAUUUUUACGGAAUAAUGUUUUUAGAAAACAUUUCUAAUAUAAAAAUUGUUUUAAGAGAAAAUUUUUAAUUUUGAAAAACACUUUUAAGUUAGUUUUAAAUUUGCUACAUGGAUCAUAAUUGUUAAAAAUAAUUAGCCGUUGAAAGUAAAUUUGGAGAUUAUUAAUUUAGAGGAGAUCAUUAUUUAUAUUUAUUUAAAUUUAUCAUUAUUUAGAGAGGGGUAUUUAAAUCACACGAACCCAAAUUAAGAGUAAAAGGUUAUAUUAUUUAGAGGAUAUUAUUAAUUUAUUGAAUAAUUAUUUAUUUAAACAACAUUAUUUAUUUAUUGAGAUUUUAUGAUAUUAAAAUGGAGAGUUAGAUUACAUAUGACUUUUUGUUGUCACAUGAUUGGUGUAAAAUAAAGCACUUAGAUUUUUAUUCAUAAAUUUAUAAUAUUAAUAAGUUUAUUACUUGAAUUUUAAAUCAUUUUUUAAAAUUAUUAAACUUGAUAAUGAAUUCUUCUUAUUUAAUUUGGAAUUUAUUUAUCUAAUGAAAAAAAAAAAGAAAUAAUAAUUUUAUAUAAAAGAAAAACAAUAAAGUUAUUUUAAGUCAAUUUUUGUUCAUAAACUUAUAGUAUUAAUAAAUUUAUUAUUUAAGUUUUAAAUUAUUUUUAAAAAUUAAUAGAUUUGUUAAAAAAUCCAAUAUUAAGUUUUGUUUAAUUUAGAGUUAAUUUAUUUAAUAAAAUUUUUUUAAAAAAUAAUAAAAUAUAUGUUUUUAUAUUAUUUUUAAAAUUUGGUGAAAAUAAUUUUUACUUACUCUUUAAAACUAAUUCACUAUUUCACUUUAUUUUUAAAAACUAAAAAUAAAGAGUAAUAACUAAAUAGUAUUAUGAAUAUUUAAAAAUUCUUUAUACAGCCAAAAAUGGAUGUGUAGACAUCCACACCCUGUGUUGCUUUCUUGAUUGUGUAUUUGUACAACCAUUUAUACAGCCAAAAAUGGAUGUGUAGACAUCCACACGCUGCGUUGCUUUCUUGAUUGUGUAUUUGUACAGCCAUUUAUACAGCCAACAAUGGAUGUGUAGACUGUUGAAGACUGAUUCAAAGUGGCUGUUGGCAUAUUCCUAUUCUUAUGGUUGAGUUAGUCAAAUAAGGAGCUUGUUGCUAAAAUCGAGUUAGUGGGUGCAGUGGGUCAAGUGUUAGUGGUGUAGUGGGGCAGAUUGUGUCCUCUUUGUUUUUUUUAUAAAUAGACAUGUUUGCUGUAGUGGAAUUAAUGACUGCAAUAAAAUAUCCAGAAACAUUUUCUUUGGUUUGGUGAAGCUCUGUUUUUUAGAGUUAAAGAGCUCUAUUUUUUUCCUUGCUAUUGUUUUGUCUUGUUUUUGCCCAACAAUUUUUGGUAUCAGAGCAACCAAGUUCCUUCUGAACUGGGCGAAUAAUGGCAACAACCAACGGCAGUAUGGUGAGUGUGUCUCAACCAGCAAUUCCCAUUUUCAAAGGUGAGUGCUAUGAGUUUUGGAGCAUCAAAAUGAAGACUUUAUUCAAGUCUCAAGAUCUGUGGGACUUGGUUGAAAAUGGCUAUCCUUAUCCGGACGAAGAAGCUAGGUUGAAAGAAAAUACGAAGAAGGACUCCAAGGCAUUGUUCUUUAUUCAACAGGCUGUACAUGAAUCAAUCUUCUCAAAGAUUGCAGUAGCAACCACAGCAAAAGAGGCGUGGACAACCUUGAAAACUGCAUUUUAGGGUUCCUCUAAAGUGAUCACGGUGAAGCUCCAGUCCUUGCGCCGUGACUUUGAAACCUUGCACAUGAAAAAUGGAGAGUCAGUGCAAGAUUUUUUGUCAAGAGUUGCUGCUAUAGUUAAUCAAAUGAGGUCGUAUGGUGAAGAUAUUCUUGAUCAAACUGUCGUAGCAAAGGUGUUAAGGAGUUUAACGCCUAAGUUUGAUCAUGUAGUUGCAGCCAUUGAGGAGUCUAAGGAUCUGUCAACCUAUUCAUUUGAUGAGCUCAUGGGAUCCUUGCAAUCUCAUGAAGCGAGGCUGUCCAGAACAGAGGAGAAGAACGAAGAAAAGACAUUUUACACGAAGGGGGAGACAUCAGAUCAGAAGAAUGGAGGCAGAGAAGCUACUGGUAGAGGACGUGGCAGAGGAGGUGCUCAUGGAAGAGGUGGUCGUGACAGAGGCCGAGGUGAUGCACAAGGUGACCAAAGGCAGUCAACUGAGAAGAGCAGAAACAAGAGUAAUAUCCAGUGCUACUACUGCAAGCGGUUUGGACAUGUUCAAGCUGAAUGUUGGAAGAAAGAAAGGCAAGAAAAACAAGCUAACUAUGUCGAGCAAGAGGAAGAUCAAGUCAAGUUGUUCAUGGCCUAUAAUGAAGAGGUAGUAUUUUCCAACAAUAUUUGGUUUUUGGAUAGUGGAUGUUCUAACCACAUGACAGGGAUAAAGUCACUCUUUAAGGAGCUGGAUGAAUCACACAAGUUGAAGGUGAAACUUGGUGAUGACAAACAAGUGUAAGUGGAAGGCAAGGGGAUCAUGGCAGUAAACAAUGGUCAUGGUAAUGUAAAACUCCUUUACAAUGUGUACUUUAUUCCUAGUUUGACUCAAAACUUGUUAAGUGUGGGGCAACUUAUGGUUAGUGGAUACUCCAUUUUGUUUGAUGGUGCUACUUGUGUGAUCAAAGAUAAAAAGUCUGAUCAAAUAAUAGUUGAUGUUCGUAUGGCCGCAAACAAGUUGUUUCCUCUUGAAGUGUCAAGUAUAGAAAAGCAUGCUCUUGUUGUUAAAGAGACUAGUGAGUCUAAUCUGUGGCACUUAAGGUAUGGUCAUCUAAAUGUCAAAGGGUUGAAGUUACUAAGUAAAAAGGAAAUGGUGUUUGGACUACCUAAAAUUGACUCGGUGAAUGUGUGUGAGGGCUGUAUUUAUGGGAAACAAAGCAAGAAACCAUUCCCUAAGGGAAGGUCAAGGAGGGCAUCUAGUUGUCUUGAGAUUAUACAUGCUGAUCUAUGUGGUCCUAUGCAAACUGCUUCAUUUGGUGGCAGUAGAUAUUUUUUGUUGUUUACAGAUGAUCAUAGCAGGAUGAGUUGGGUGUAUUUUCUUCAAUCAAAGGCAGAGACUUUUGAGACCUUCAAGAAGUUCAAAGCAUUUGUAGAGAAGCAGAGUGGCAAGUGCAUUAAGGUGCUGCGGACUGACAGAGGUGGAGAGUUCUUAUCAAAUGAUUUUAAAGUGUUUUGUGAAGAGGAAGGCUUGCAUAGAGAGUUGACUACUCCUUAUUCACCAGAGCAAAACGGUGUGGCUGAGAGGAAGAAUAGAACGGUGGUUGAGAUGGCUAGAAGCAUAAUGAAGGCCAAGAACCUUUCAAACCAUUUUUGGACAGAAGGAGUUGUUACAGCUGUAUGGGAGGAAACCUUUUGUAAGCCAUUUAAAGGUUUUUGGUAGUGUUGCCUAUACGUUGAUUGACUCACAUAACCGUAGUAAGCUUGAUGAAAAAUCAGUAAAGUGCAUCUUUAUUGGUUAUUACUCUCAAUCAAAAGGAUAUAAGCUAUAUAACCCUGUUAGUGGUAAGAUAAUUGUUAGCAGAAAUGUGGUGUUUGAUGAAAAAGCUAGCUGGACUUGGCGUGUAAGUGAAGACGGUGCUCUUGUGGAGAUUUCAAGUGAAAGUGAAGUGGCACAGAGUGAAGAUCAGCAGCCUUCUGUUCAGAUUCCAGCAAGUCCAACUUCCUCUCAUUCACCUAGUUCCCCAAAUUUGAGUAGCAUCAGUUCUUCGCAAUCUUCAAAGGAAACCCCUCCAAGGAAAUUCAGAUCUUUAAGGGACAUCUAUGAGACUACACAAGUCUUGUUUGCAGCUGAUCCAACAACCUUUGAAGAAGCAGUGGAGAAGGAAGAAUGGUGCAGUGCUAUGAAAGAAGAGAUAGCUGCCAUUGAGAAGAAUGAGACUUGGGAACUGGUGGAGCUUCUUGAAGACAAGAAUGUGAUAGGUGUUAAAUGGGUUUUCAGAACCAAGUACUUAGCAGAUGGUAGUAUACAAAAGCACAAGGCACAGUUAGUGGCAAAGGGCUAUGCACAGCAACAUGGAGUUGAUUAUGAUGACACCUUCUCACCAAUUGCACUAUUUGAAACAGUAAGGACCUUAUUAGCCUUAGCUGCUCAUAUGCAUUGGUGUGUUUAUCAGUUUGAUGUCAAGUCUGCUUUUCUUAAUGGAGAGCUAGUAGAGGAGGUGUAUGUAUCUCAGCCUGAAGGCUUCAUAGUUCCUGGUAAAGAAGAGCACGUGUAUAGACUAAAGAAGACCCUUUUUGGGUUGAAACAAGCCCCACGAGCAUGGUACAGUAAGAUAGAUUCUUACUUUGUUGAGAAUGGCUUUGAAAGGAGCAAGAGUGAUCCAAAUCUUUACCUAAAAAGGCAAGGUAAAAAUGAUCUUCUUAUUAUUUGUCUUUAUGUAGAUGACAUGAUCUAUAUGGGUUCAUCCUCUUUUCUUAUUAAUGAGUUUAAAGCCUGUAUGAAGAAGAAGUUUGAGAUGUCAGACCUAGGGUUGUUGCAUUUCUUUCUUGGUUUAGAGGUAAAACAAGUAGAGGAUGGAGUCUUUGUUUCAUAAAGAAAGUAUGCUAUUGAUUUGCUUAAGAAGUUCAAUAUGUUAAAUUGCAAAGUAGUAGCUACUCCUAUGAAUUCAAAUGAGAAGUUGCAGGCUGAAGAUGACACUGAAAGAGCUGAUGCUAGGAGGUUUAGAAGUCUGGUUGGAGGCCUCAUUUAUUUGACACAUACACGGCCAGAUAUAGCUUUUGCAGUUGAGGUGAUCUCCAGAUUUAUGCAUUGUCCUUCGAAGCAACAUCUUGGAGCUGCAAAGAGAUUGUUGAGAUACAUUGCUGGAACAUAUGAUUUCGGGAUAUGGUAUGGUCAUGUUCAAGAGUUCAAAUUGGUUGGCUACACUGAUAGUGAUUGGGCAGGGUGCUUAGAGGACAGAAAAAACACUUCAAGCUAUAUGUUUUCUCUUGGGUCAGGUGCAGUCUAUUGGAGUUCAAAGAAGCAAGCAGUGACAGCCUUGUCCUCUUUUGAAGCUGAGUAUACACUGCAACCUCAUCCGCAUGCCAGGCAGUGUGGUUGAGGCGAAUUCUUGCUGAUAUUAGUCAAGAACAUGAGGAGUCAACUAUAAUUUACUGUGACAACAAAGCUGCCAUAGCAAUGACCAAGAAUCCAGCCUACCAUGGAAGGACAAAACAUGUUGAUAUUCGGGUUCAUUUCAUAAGAGAUCUUGUGGUUGAAGGUAAAGUUGUUUUGCAGUAUUGUAACACCAAUGAGCAGGUAGCGGAUGUGCUGACAAAAGCUUUAUCUAGAGACAAACAUGUCUACUUCAAAAGCAAGCUUAGAGUUUGCAACUUUGAAUCAAGGGGGAGUGUUGAAGACUGAUUCAAAGUGGUUGUUGGCAUAUUCCUAUUCUUAUGGUUGAGUUAGUCAAAUAAGGAGCUUGUUGCUAAAAUCGAGUUAGUGGGUGUAGUGGGUCAAGUGUUAGUGGUGUAGUGGGGCAGAUUGUGUCCUCUUUGUUUUUUUAUAAAUAGACAUGUUUGUUGUAGUGGAAUUAAUGAAUGCAAUAAAAUAUCCAGAAGCAUUUUCUUUGGUCUGGUGAAGCUCUGUUUUUUAGAGUUAAAGAGCUCUAUUUUUUUCCUUGCUAUUGUUUUGUCUUGUUUUUGUCCAACAUAGACAUCCACACGCUGCGUUGCUUUCUUGAUUGUGUAUUUGUACAGCCAUUUAUACAGCCAACAAUGGAUGUGUAGACAUCCACACGCUGUGUUGCUUUCUUGAUUGUGUAUUUGUCUUUGUAUGCUUGUCUGUUUUUCCUGGUUUGAUACAGCUGACAAGAAUCCACUUCUUUUUUAUUUUUGUAAGUUUAAAGUAUUUCAUAGUAACCCAACUUUGUAAUUUUUUAGGUUUGAAGUGGGUUUUAACGUGUUGAUUUGAAAAAAAGUUUGUGUUCUGUUAAAGUUGUACGGUUUGAAACCUAUACUGAUUGAUAAUACAACCAAAAAUGGGGUAGAUGUGAACCAAAAAUGGGUACGGUUGGAUAGAGAUGUAAUUUCAUCCACAUUUCUCAUCUAAGCCCAAUCCAAAUUUAAAUACCCCAAGUUGGAUUAGAACUGCAAUUCCUAAUUUUGACUUGGAUUUGAAUUUAACCAGCCCAAUUUGCCUCUCAGGGAGGGCUUUAAGCCAUGGCCAGGGGGCUUUAGAAUCUUUGAAACCAUAACCAAAUUCAAUUAACUGAACCCAUAUAUUUUGUUAUACUCAAUUCUGCCUGCUCUUAAGGAACUAACCUGUUUCAUCCAAUCAACUUAAACAUAACUCACUAAGAUGAGUUUAAUUUGAUUUCUUUCAGGGUGUUGAUGCUAGAAACUUACCAACCUAUUUCAAGGUGUCUUUUGCCGUUUCAGGCUGUUGAUAUUGCAGACCCUAAAUCUAUUAUUGUGAGUAGAGUUUGUUAGGUGCAACCGUGCAACAAUGUUGUUCUUAAAACAUUGGUGGAAGGACUUUUGAUAAGAGUACGGUAAUUUCAAAAAAAAAAAAUCUUAAAUUAUCAUAGUAGAAAAAAUAAUUCUAAAUUUACGGCAAUUUUUACCAGGUAGGAGAGAAGGAGAGUUGUUUUUUUUAUCAACUUGAAAAUUGUCUUUUGAAAAGACGAUUUCCACCAAAACAAAUAUAAAAAAAAAUUAAUCCCUCAAAAAUCGUCUUUUAAAAAGACGAUUUCCACCUAACAAACAUACAAAAAAAAAUUAACUACUCAAAUCGUCUUUUGAGAAAACGAUUUCCACCAAAACAAAUAUAUAUAUAUAUAUAUAUAUAUAUAUAUAUAAAUUAAUCUUUAAAAAAAAUUAGUUCGUCUCUUGAAGAUACCAUUUCCCUAAAAAAUAUUUAAGUGUAAAUCUUCUCUUAAAGAGACGAUUUCCAAAAAAAAAAAAAAAUUACUACCCUAGGAAAUCAUUUCUUCACCACCCAAAUUUCAAACUUUUAUAUAUUUUAAUUUUUUUAAUUAUGUUAAAUCAGAUAACAUUUUAGUUUUAUUUCUACUUUUAUUUUUAUUUUUAUAUCUCAUUGUUUUUACAACAUAAUUUUCAAUUAUUUCUAUUUUUUAAAUUUUAAUAUUUUUUAAAUCAUAUAUUAUGAAAAAUAUAUAGAAAUAUAAUUAUUCUAUUAUUAUUAUUUUUCAUUCUCAUUUUACUAAUAUUUUAUUUUAUUUUUAAAUUUAAAUUUUAAUAUUUUAUAAAACAUAUUAUUUGAUUGAUAAACAUAAACAAUAAUCCUAUUAUUUCAUAUUAAUUAAAUAAACUAAUAUCAUUUUUAUUUUUUGAAUGAUUUAAUUCAUUUAUCUUUAUAUAAUGAUAAUUUACAACAAAUAAUAUUCUAACAAAAUUACCAUAAAUCCAAUAAAUUUAAAAAAUACAAAUAACAACAAAUAUCUAUCAUGUAUUACACAAUAAAUAUGAAAUAAAGGCAAAAAUAUUACCAAUGAAUAAAAUAAUAUAUCUUUUAUUUUUUUGAAUGAUUUAAUCUAUUUAAAAUAAUAAUUUCCAAUAAAUAUUAUUCAAACAAAUAUUACAUAAUCCAAAUAAAUUUAAAAACUUAUAUAAUAAUAAAAACUAUAUAUUAUAAAAUAACUUAAAAUAAAAAUAAAGUAAAAAUAUUACCUUAUAAGUAGCGUGUUGAAAAAAAUAGAUGAGAUAUGCUAAGAUGGAAGUGAUGGAAGGUGAAAAACUAAUAAGUGCAUGCAAUAGGUAAGAUUCUCAUAUACCUAUGGGCUAGCUAUGAGAGGGUAGUAAACGGUCUUCAAAUUUGUGUGAAGUAUAAUAGGUUAUAAGAGAUAUGACAACACAUGAAAUUUUAACUUAAAAGAUUAAUAUUUUUAACCUUAAAAUUUAUAUAAUAUAAUUAAUUUAAAAAUUAAAACAAAACAAAAUUAUUUAUUUUGUAAAUAAUUUUUUUAAACUCAUUUUAUCAUAUAAAUUUGAUAAUAACUUUUUUUAAUUGCAAAGUGAAAGAAAGAAAAAAACAAUAGAUAAAUAUUAUUUAUUUUGUAUUAAAUUUAGUAAAUUAAAUUAAUUAAUUUUAUAAUAUAUAUUUAUAAUAAUUAUAAGAGUAUAAUUUAUUUUUAAAUUUUAAAAUGGAUUUAUAAUAUAUUUUUAUAUUAAGUUGUAUUAUUUGUUUUUAUAAUAUGGAGAUAAUUAAAGAUAUUAAAAUAUAUAAAAAUUUGAAAUUUGGGUGGUGAAGAGAUGACUUCUUGGGGUAGCAAUUUUUUUUUCUAGGAAGAGACGAUUUCAAAUUAAUUUUUUUUUAAAUAAUACUUUUUUUUUUGGAAAUCAUCUUUUGAAAAGACGAUUUUUGAGUGGUUAAUUUUUAAUAUAUAUAUUUGUUUUGAUGAAAAUCGUUUUCUCAAAAAAUGAUUUUUGAGUGGUUAAUUUUUUUAUAUGUUUGUUAGGGUGGAAAUUGUCUUUCCAAAACACGAUUUUUGAGGAAUUUUUUAUUUUUUUAUAUUUGUUUUUGUGGAAAUCAUUUUUUCAAAAGACGAUUUCCAAGUUGACAAAAAACAACAACUCUCCUUCUCUUUUACCUGACAUAGAUUUAGAAUUAUUUUUCCUAUUAUAGUAAUUUAAUAAUAUUUUUUUUAAUUACCAUAGUCUUAUCAAAAGUCCCCUCGGCGGGAUGGAUCAUCCGAUAGAAGGCUCGUGAUGUUUCACCUACCCUAACACCAAUUAGUUUCCAGAUAGAGUGGUCAAAAUCUGAUCCAAGAGAAUUCAAACUUGAAAAAAAAUUCCCAAACUUGAAAUUUGUAUUAACUCCCAAGAAUGAAAUUAUUCUCUCCUAUUUUCUUAAGUUGGAUGUCAUUCAUUUCACGAGGAGCAAAUGGCACAAUCUGUGGGCUUUGUUGGUAUUCUUUUACCCCUAAAUAAUGAUAAAGUUUAAAGAGUUUCUCAUUAUGAUCUAGUAUGGGAGCUGACUGCUUCUUUGGAUCAGGAUUAAGGGUUGGUGGGAUAAUUAUCUCACUUUUGAUAAUAGGAAUAGUAUCCUUAAAGCCUAUAGGAUUAAUGAGAGUAAUGAAGCUGUUAAGGACGAAGAUGGCCAAGAUAUUGAGGAUGCAGUGGCUACUUUAAUCUACUCAAUAUCCAAGCACUUCAUUGGAGAUCCUACAAAAAUUAAGGAUAAAACUGCAGAUCUCUUAACCAACCUUAAGUGUCCCAAGCUUCAUGAUUUUAGGUGGUAUAAGGAAGUCUUCCUAACCAAAGUCAUGCUAAGAUCAGAUUGUAACCAGUCUUUUUGGAAAGAAAAAUUCAUCUCAGGUUUACCCAAGCUUUUCUCUGAGAGAAUUAGGAUCAAGAUAAGGGAACAGUAUAAUGGUCAAAUCCCUUAUGAUAAGUUAACCUAUGGUGAGAUUAUAAGCAUUGUCAUAGCUGAAUGGAUUAAGUUGUGCAAUGACUUCAAGCUUAAGCAACAAAUGAAGAAUGAACAAAAAAUCUACAAGAAUGAAUUUGGAUCAUUCUGUAGCCAGUUUGGUUUCAGCCAAAAAGAAACUAUGCCUCCCUCUAAGCAAAAACCAAGUAGGAAGCCUAGCAAAGAUAAGUUUUACCACAGUAAGAGAGGUACCCAUGACAACUAUAGGAUGAAUGAUACUAAGCAUUCAAGGCACGUCCAAAGAAGGGUCAACAAAGAUACCCAGAAAAAGGUAGAAACUCCUUUAGAUGUCAAGCCAUUCAUCUGUUUUAAAUGUGGCAAAGUUGGCCAUUAUAAAAAAGAUUGUAGAGUUAAGCAAAAUAUUAAUAACUUAAGUGUCUCAAAUGACUUAAAAAAUAUGUUUUGUAAGGUAAUGUUAAACUCAGAUUCUGAAUCAAGGACUGAUUCAGAUAAUGAAGAUGACAUUAAUCAACUAGACAGUAGUGGUGAAGUUUCCAGCCAAUCUUCUAGUGACCAAGCAGAAUACAUUAAAGGUAAUUGUAAUUGUCGUCCUAAAACUAUAAAUGUCAUAAGCCAAGAUCAGGAAUUUAUCCUAGAUACUUUAAGAAAAGUUGAAGAUGAAAAGACUAAGCAAAAUCUUUAUGAAGUUUUUAAGAAAUCUGUUGUCAAAGUAGAAGCCAAGAAGACUGUUAAUCCUUAUAACCUUAAUGAUAUCUUAAAUAGGUUUGACCAGCAGUUUCCCAAAGAAGUCAGCAUUAAGGAACUUCAUGAAGAAGUUAAGCAGCAUAAGAAGGAGAUUAAAGAGUUAAGACAAUUCAUAAGUUUAGGUCUCUCUGAUCUCCAAGAUCAAAUCAAUAGAAUUGUCAACCAAGGAAACCUUAUGGAUAUUCCAGAAUCUUCUCAUGUUAAUGAUAAUGAGACAGAUAUUUUUUUGAAUACUGUGAGUAAGGUUAUCUUCCAGAGGUGGGAAGUCUCCCUUACUAUAGUAGUCAAAGAUAAAUUUGUCUUUGAUAUUAUUGCUUUGAUUGAUUCAGGAGCAGCUGAAAAUUGCCUUCAAGAAGGUCUUGUACCUAUUCCGUUAUGCGAAGAGACUAGUCAGUCUCUAUUUGGAGCCAAUGGCAAAAGACUUGCCAUUAAGUAUAAGUUAACAGAUGUUCAUAUUCAUAACCAUGACAUCUGUAUUAAACAAACCUUUAUCCUUGUUAAGGAUCUUAAUGAAAAAGCCCUUCUAGGAAUACCCUUCUUAAGCUCUAUUUAUCCCUUGUGGGUAGAUAACCAAGGUAUAAGAACAAAGCUUUUUGAUAAGGAAAUUAUUUUUUAAUUUGCUAAUCCUGUUGAAAACGUCACUCGUUGUGAUCAAGAAAUUAAUCUUGUUAGAAUAGAUGAUCCACCUAAGAUAUUAGGUACCCAAUUCAUUCAUAAUCUCAUUAUAAAUGAUAUUUUAAGCAUUCCUUUAUGCAUUUCAAAAUUUCAAACUGAUAUUUUGAACCAAGGAAUUUUAAAAGUUGUUUUCACAUCUGAGAAAACAAUUAAGUAUAUAGCUUUUAAGUAUAAUUUAAUUAAUUGGAUUAUUUUAAACCCUAAUUUUCAAAUCAAAAUUAUUAAAGGAGAAAGUUCCAUUCCUAAUCACUCAACUCAUGAAAUUUGCAGGGUUCACGAGACCAUGGCCCCUAAAAAGAAUACCCAAGCUCCUAGCCAGAAAACCCAACCCAUUCAAGCUCCUUCUCCCCAUAAAAUGCUAUGGAGCCAACAAGUUGAAGAAGAAGAAGCAAGGCUUCAUUCUUCUAAACCUAUACCUAACAAGAUGAUGACCUUGUACUAUGAUCAUUCCGAUCCAGCUAAUCCAGUCAAGGCCACUCAGUAUCCAGCCAUUUCAGGGUCUCAGACCUUCAAGCAAGUCAUUAAGGCUAAUCCCUCUCAAAAGGAAUUAGCAUCAAGCUCCUCUUUUUCAAACAAGCAAAUUGUGGUGGAUGCCAACCCCACACAUUUUUCAACAAAAUCAAGAUAUGGCAAAAUUAUUUAAAUCAACCUCUUUUGGUUAUAGAAAGAGAAUUUUUCUCUGAAAACCCCAGAGAAAUUGCUGCAAAAGCUUUUCAAAAAAAUUUUCAUUAUCCCUCUGGUGAUAUUUUAAGAAUAAGAGAGUUUUAUGAAGCAGUCCUUACAGAAACUGGUUUUGUUAAAAUUAAGCAUAAUGCAGACAAAUUCAGCAAUAUGGGUUUGGCAUUCUCCACUUGCCAUAUCUAUAAGAUUCUUACUGUCAAGCAAUGGGGAGGAAAUCCUAAUCUUUCAAGGGAAUUUUCUGAACCAUCAAAGCCAAGGUUUUUUAAUUAUUGGGAUUAUCAGAGAGCAUGGUUUAAUGUUUUUCUGAUCCAGAAUAGGGACUUCCAUCAUUCAUGGAUGUUCUAUUUUCCAUCUAAGAAUCAACUUUUCUCUUUCCCAUUUUGGUUCUACAAUUGGUGGAAUUAUUAUGGUCCGACUAUUAAGAUUCUUCCCAAGCCCAUCCUGGAUGGCUUUGAGCUAUUCAGAAGUUCUUUUAAUAUCCCCAGAGAACUUUCAGCUUUUCCCCCUUUACUAUUCUUCUUCAGCAAAUUUGGCCUUACUUGGAUAGUCCAGUGGGACUAUAUUAUCAUUACAGAUGAAUCAACAGCCUUUCCAUCGCUGGGAAGGACCUUUAAAACAAAAUGGUGGGAUGCCUUAAAAAAUGAUGCAUCUAUUGAUACAGUUAAGCAGUAUUUCCUCCAGAACCCCACACAAGUCUCAGCCAGUGAUGAUAUGUCUUAGUUUUUCCUUAAAAAGCAACAGUUACAAGCCAUGCUCGCAGCUGCUAAGACCCCUCAAGAUUUCCAGAAAAUCCUUGAAGAAGGAAGCUCAAGUUUCUCCCAAGAAAAUUCUUAUGCAGAGUCUGAUGAUUCAACAAGCUACUUUUCAGACAAUGGUGAUGACUGUGAAGGAAUCCUUUCUCCAAUAAGAAGAUCUAAGUAAUCAUUAGCCUUUUGUCUUCCAUCAAGAAUAUUUUACAAGUCUUGCAGUUUCUGUUCCAAAAGCAGCAAGCAUGUGACUACAUAGUAUAUAGCAGCCUGCUAGAAGUCUUCUCAGCCGAAAGAGGGUUUUUCAGAGGAUUUCGGUAUAAAAAUGAAUCUUACUAUUCACUAUUCACUAUUCACUAUUCAAGCACGAGUCUACUGUUCAUGGUUACUAUUCAAGAUUCCUUUUUUGCCUAUUUAAGGAGGCUCGGUCCUCAUUUGUAAAAACACUUAAAUUUUCUCUCCCAAGCUUAUGCUCUCCCUUCUCUCUUCUUUCUCUCUCAUCAUGUAACCCCUUCAAGCUUUCAAGCUUUCUUCAAGCUUUCCUACCCCUGCCCAUUGUAAGAUAUUUCUCCUUAUAUAUAAUAUAAGUAUGUUUUGAUUACCUCCUAUAUGGAUGGUUUUUAAUUAAGUUUUGUUUUUCAUUUUAUUUUAUGUUCUUGUACUGCCUAUAUGGUCGGUUUUAAUUAAGCUUUGUUUUUAAGUUUAUGUUUUUAUUUUGUACCGCCUACAUGGUCGGUUUUAAGCUUAUUAUGAACUAACAAGUUUUUGGUUCCUUCUCUUUAAAUUUCUUGUUGGAUAUCUUUUGUAUCAUCUAACCCUCUUCUUUGUUUUGAAUCAUGGCAUAAUUCCUGUUUUCAUUGCAUAUGACCUUGUCCUGGGUGUCUAUGGUAUCAGAGCCAUGUGGGAGGGAAGUUGGGUCUUGUUUUGGGUGUUCUUGGCCUAUCCUAGGAUAGGUCGCAAUGUGCCUGGGAGCGCGAGCCCUGCCGGUUGAGCCGUUGUUAGCCGUGGAUAGGCGUUUGUUAGGCUGUAAGAGGGUUGGGGUGACGUCUCAUAAGGUUUGUCAAUAUGCUAUUAGGCUCUAGUUCAAAAACCCUAAAAUGAGCUCAAUUUUCAGAACCAUGUCUAGGAGAUCCAGUGAUUCUCAAGAUACUGUUGUAAACAGUGAACAAAUCAAUUAUCCUAAGAUCCAAAAUGAUUUAGAUGAUUGGAAGUUACCCAAGGUGUCUAAUCAAGAAAUUUAUAAGAAAUGAACCUUUAAGUUCUUCACAGAUUACACCAUUAAGACCUCUAAAAUGUCAGUCAGCUUAGAACAAGACGACCAAGUCAUAAGACUUCUAGAUAACAGAUCCAUUGAUAAGCAUAAGAAAGAUGGCUAUAAUUUCAUACACUUUGGUAUGAUUCAAGUAACUGCUAAGCCUUUGACAAGAUUAGGUUUAAACACCUCUAUUGUCAUGUGUUUUAGGGAUAAUAGGCAGUUCGAAUAUCGAGAUUCUAUUAUAGGCGCAGUCCAAGCUGGACUGAAUGAUGGCCCAGUUUAUUUCCAGUGCUUAUCCUAACUUCAUAGUUAGAAUAAGAGAUGCAGACAUCCUAUAUUCCGUUGUCCUGCAUAUUAAGACCCAUGACUUUAAGAUCAAACGAGGAAACAGUCCUAUUUCAAUCAUAACCAGGUUUGCCUAUAAGAGCAUGAAUACAAGCGUUGGAUCUGGGCCUCUUUGCACCAGUCCUAAAGGUGAGACUACUUACUUUCACUCAGAUAUGCUAGAUAAGUCAGAUUUCAUCAUCCCCAAGAAGAUCUUGUGGAAAGAUGUUGAGUUCCCUGAAAAUUGGCAUUUUGCUAAUGCUGUUCCAGCCAUAGCACAGCGUUCUGAAAGUAUUGAACAAAUUGUUCAAUAUCCUGAUGGAGGAGGAGAACUGGUUUUCUCCAACUCUUUCAGACAUUCCAGCAGCCCUAGAGUUUCUGUUUAUGAACCAUCUAGAGCUUCAAGCUCUUCCAUCACAGUUAGAACCACUAGGGAAGAAUAAGGAUCCAACUCAGGAAAUCCUAAGAACAUUAAGCUAACAGGUGUUAGAAGUCACACCAACGUGGCUAGACCAUUUUACUCAGAGGAAAAUGAGUCUACUCAGGAUGAGUCUCCUGUUAUGUCUCCUACCUAUUCCUAGAUGAUUAACACAAUAAGCCUAAGUGAUGAGGACUUUGAGAUCAACAAGGAUCUCUUAAGAAAGGACUUCUAUUCUGAAGUCAAUAAGCAAAGAAAUGAUUGGUUCUUUAGCACUGUCCCUAAGGUCAUUAGAACCAUUUACCAAGAAGAAUUCUAUGCCUACUUAAGACAAGAAAAGAAAAAUAUUAAGUUUUGGAUUUGGUUUGAACUCUUCAAAACAAGAGGAAUAUCCAGAUUAUCCUUGUAAGCGUAUUAACAACACCUCUACAAAAGCUAAGAUAUGGAAAACCAGUGAUAACAUUGUUAUAGAAUUCAUUCAUCCUCCGAAAGCUAAGAUAGAAAAGAAUAUUAAUGGAACCAUAGUCACAGCUUCACCUUUUAAGACUAAGCCAGAGGAUAAAGGAACUGCUAGUGCGUCCGAUAUUAGAAGAAUUAUGGAACAAAUCAAUUAUACUAAUAUGUUUCUCAUAACCCUUGGAAAUCAAGUCAACAGAGUUGAGGAGAUUAUUGAAACUCAGGAUCACCUUAAGAAGCCUUUUGUUAAGAAUGAUAAUAAGCCUUUGUUUAAGCCUUUUGAAUUAUCUAAGAAAUUCCAAGAAAAUCCUCAAAUUGAUCAAGCUUUCAUUGAUAGAAUAAGCCAAAAGGUUAAAGAUAAUCUUGUUAUCCCUGAAACACCUCAAACUUUUGCUAUCCAUGAAACACCUCUACCUUCCCAUAGGAGAAUCCUUUUGGUUAAAAGGAAUAUUAAUCCAAAAGUAAAGGAUAAUGGACUAAUUAGGUUAACCAGAGAAUCUUCUAUCCAAAACCCUUUUAAGGAUCAUAGUGAUAAACAAGAGAUUAUCCUUAAUACCCUAACUAUUAAAGAUCUUCAAGAAGAAAUAGGGCAAUAUAGGAAGGAUAUUGAGAACCUAAGACAACCUACAAGCACAGAAUCCCAUAUCCCUCAUGAUUAUAUCAAUAUGAUAGGUUUUUACCACAGUAGUCUUAAAAAGGAAGACUUUGAAGAAGUUCUUGAAUCUUCACAAGACAAUAGUGAUAAGAUAAAUGCAUACUUAAAUACUAUUAGUAAAGUUAUCUUCCAAAGGUGGGAAGUCUCCCUUACUAUAGUAAUUAAGAAUAAAUUUAUCCUUGAUAUUAUUGCUUUAAUAGAUUCAGGUGCAGCUUUGAAUUGUCUACAAGAAGGUCUUGUACCUACCCAACUUUAUGAGAAAACCAGGCAAGCCCUUUUUGGUGCUAAUGGUAAAAAGCUUAUUAUCAAGUACAAGCUAUCGAAUGCCCAUAUUUGUAACCAAGGCAUUUGCAUUAAGCAAACCUUCAUCCUUGUUAAAUUCCCAUGUGGGUAGAUGAUCAAGGUAUAAGAACUAAGCUUUUAGAUAAGGAAAUUCUGUUUGAAUUUGCCAAUCCACCUAGAGAAAGAAGUAUAAACACCAUAAAAGAUCAGGUGAUUAAGGCUAAGCAAAACCAUAUUAAUCUCUUAAAGUAAGAGAUUGCUUUGGUUAGAAUAGAAGAUCAAUUGAAGGUUAAGAAAACUUAAGAUACCAUAGAAAAUUUUAAGAAUAAAAUUAUUAGGGAAGUAUGUUCUAACAUUCCUAAUGCUUUUUGGCACAUGAAGCAGCAUGAGGUAGAAUUACCUUAUGAGCCUGAUUUUAGUGAGAAAAAUAUUCCCACUAAAGUAAGACCAAUCCAAAUGAACAAGGAUUUGUUAAGCUAUUGUGAAAAAGAAAUCCAAGAUCUCAUAGAUAAGAAGUUGAUAAGGAAGUCUAAAUCCCCUUGGAGUUGUUCAACCUUUUAUGUUCAGAAACAAGUUGAACUAGAAAGAGGAACACCUAGACUAGUCAUCAACUAUAAGCCCCUCAAUGAUGUUUUAAGAUGGAUCAGGUAUCCUAUCCCAAAUAAAAAAGACCUCCUUCAAAGAUUAGUGAAGUCCAAAGUUUUCUCUAAGUUUGACAUGAAAUCAGGAUUUUGGCAAAUCCAGAUUGCGGAAAAAGAUAGGUACAAAACAGCCUUUGUGGUCCCAUUUGAUCAUUAUGAGUGGAAUGUAAUGUCAUUUAGCCUUAAGAAUGCACCUUCUGAGUUUCAAAACAUAAUGAAUGAAAUCUUUAACCAGUUUUCUGAUUUCAUUAUUGUUUACAUUGAUGAUGUUUUGAUUUACUCAAAUUUUGUUGAGCAGCAUUGGAAACAUCUCAAUAAGUUUGUUGAGACUGUUAAGAGCAAUGGUUUAAGUUUGUCAGCCACUAAGAUUAACCUCUUUCAAAUUAAAGUAAGAUUCCUAGGUCAUCAUAUUCACCAAGGAACAUUCACCCCCAUUCAAAGAUCAAUUGAGUUUGCUGAUAAGUUCCCUGAUGAGAUUAAGGAUAAGAAACAAUUGCAACGUUUCUUAAGAAGCCUUAAUUAUGUGUCAGAUUUCAUACAAGAUUUAAGCCAAUUAUGUGCCCCUUUAAGACAAAGACUUAAGAAAAAUCCAGUUCCUUGGAAUGAGGAUCAUACCAAGAUUGUUAAAAUAGUAAAGUCUAGAGUCAAAACCUUACCAUGUCUCGCCUUAGCUGAUCAUAAAGCCUUUAAGAUUGUUGAGACUGAUGCUUCUGACAUAGGUUUUGGUGGAAUUCUUAAGCAAAGAAGUAAUAAUCAAGAAUUGUUGGUUAGAUUCACCUCUGGAACUUGGAACCAUGCCCAACUCAACUACAGCACCAUCAAAAAGGAAAUUUUAAGCAUCGUUUUAUGCAUUUCAAAAUUUCAAGACGAUCUUUUGAAUCAGGAAUUUUUAUAUAAGAGUAGAUUGCAAAUCUGCAAAAUCAGUUUUACAAAAGGAUGUUAAAAAUAUAGCUUCUAAACAUAUUUUUGCUAGAUGGCAAGCUAUUUUAAGCAAUUUUGAAGAGACGAGUUCCCUUGAAGAAAUUCCUUUUUUUUUUUUUUUUAAUUUGGGAAUUUUAAAAUAUAUAUAUAUAUAUUUAAAAAAUAUUUUUUUUCCAUGGGAACUCGUCUCUUGAAGAGACGAGUUCCCUUGAAGAAUUGUUUUAUAUAUAUAUAUAUAUAUUUUUUUUUUUAAAAAAAAAUUUUCCCAUGGGAACUCGUCUCUUCAAGAGAUGAGUUCCCUUAAGUUCUUUUUUUUUUUUUUUUUUUUUAAAUUUGGGAAUUUAUUUUUUUUCCAUGGAAACUCGUCUCUUGAAGAGACGAGUUCCCUUGAGGAAUUGUUUUUUUUUAAAAAAAAAAAAUUUGGGAAUUGUUUUUUUUAAAUAAAAAAUAUAUUUUUAAAAAAAUAUAUUUUUUUUCCAUCGGAAUUGAGGAAUUGCUUUUUUUUUUUUUUUUUUUUUUAGUAAUUUGGGAAUUUUUAAAUAUAUAUAUAUAUAUAUAUAUAGAGACGAGUUCCCUGAGGAAUUUUUUUUUUUAAUUUGCGAAUUUUUUAAAAAGAAAAUGUAUUUUUUUCCAUGGGAACUCGUCUCUUGCAAGAGACGAGUUCCCUUGAGGAGUUGUUUUUUUUUUUUUUUAAUAAUUUGGGAAUUUAAAAAAAAAAAAAUUUCAUUGGUUCCAUUGAGGAAUUGUUUUUUUUUUUUUUUUAAAUUUGGGAAUUUUUAAAAUAUAUAUAUAUAUAUAUAUAUAUAUAUAUAUAUAUGUUUUUUUUUUUUUUUUCUUAGGAACUCGUCCCUUGAAUAAACAAGUUUCCUUGAGGAAUUGUUUUUUUUUUGAGGAAUUUUUUUUUUUUUUUUUUAAGGGGGUUAUAAAAAAAAAAAAAAAAAUAAAAAUAUUUCCCGGGGAAACCCUCCCUUGAAAAAAAAAAUCCCCUUAAACAACGGUUUUUUUUUUUUUUUUUUUUUUUUUUUUUUUUUUAAAAAAGGGGGAAAUUUUUUAAAAAAAAUUAUUUUUUUUCGGGGGCCCGUCCCCCCAAAAAAAAAAGCCCCCAAAAGAAAAUUAUAUUUAAAUUUUUUUUUAAAAAAUUUUUUUUAUUGGGGGAAUUUUUUUUAAANNNNNNNNNNNNNNNNNNNNNNNNNNNNNNNNNNNNNNNNNNNNNNNNNNNNNNNNNNNNNNNNNNNNNNNNNNNNNNNNNNNNNNNNNNNNNNNNNNNNGGGGGGGGGUUCCCGGGGGAAUUUUUUUUUUUAUUUUGGAAAUUUUUUAAAAAAAAAAUUUUUUUUUUUCCUGGGGAAUUUUUUUUUUCAAAAGAAGGGUUUCCCUGGGGGGGUGUUUUUUUUUUUUUUUUAUAAUUUGGGGAAUUAAAAAAAAAAAAAUUUCCUUGGUUCCCCUGGGGAAAUUUUUUUUUUUUUUUUUUAAAUUUGGGAAUUUUUUAAAAAUAUAUAUAUAUAUAUAUAUAUAUAUAUAUAUAUGUUUUUUUUUUUUUUUUUUUAGGAACUCGUUUCUUGAAUAGACGAGUUUCCCUGAGGAAUUGUUUUUUUUUUGAGGAAUUUUUUUUUUUUUUUUUUAAUGUGGUUAUAUAUAUAUAUAUAUAUAUAUAUAUAUUUCCAUGGGAACUCGUCUCUUGAAGAGACGAGUUCCCUUGAGCAACUGUUUUUUUUUUUUUUUUUUUUUUUUUUUUUUUUUUUUAUAAUUUGGGAAUUUUUUUAAAUAUAUAUAUAUAUUUCAUGGAGCUCGUCUCUUCAAGAGACGAGUUCCCUAGAGGAAUUGUUAUUNNNNNNNNNNNNNNNNNNNNNNNNNNNNNNNNNNNNNNNNNNNNNNNNNNNNNNNNNNNNNNNNNNNNNNNNNNNNNNNNNNNNNNNNNNNNNNNNNNNNGGAAUUUUUUUUUUUUUAAGGAAUUUUUUUUUUUUUUUUUAAAGGGGGUUUAAAAAUAAAAAAAAAAAAAAAUAUAUUUCCCAGGGGACUCCUUUUUUGGAGGGGCGGGGUUCCCUGGGCAACCGGUUUUUUUUUUUUUUUUUUUUUUUUUUUUUUUUUUUAUAAUUUGGGAAUUUUUUUAAAUAUAUAUAUAUAUUUCAUGGAGCUCGUCUCUUCAAGAGACGAGUUCCCUAGAGGAAUUGUUAUUUUAUUUUAUUUUUUUAAUUAUUUUUUUUAAUUUGGGAAUUUUUUUAUAAAAAAUAUAUAUAUUUUUUUUUUCAGGGAACUCGUCUCUUCAAGAGACGAGUUCCAUUGAGUAAAUGGGGAAUUUUUUUAAAAAUAUAUAUAUAUUUUUUUCAUGGAACUCGUCUCUUGAAGAGACGAGUUCCCUUUGUUUGAAAAGACGCCUUUUGAAAUUUGAAAAGAUGAUUUUGGUUUUAAAAAAAUUUAUCCGUUCACCCUCUCUCCUAUCUCCUCUCUCUUAUGUGGCAAAAACUACCAUAUAUUUGUAAUAACUUUUUCUACUACAAUAAUUUAAGCAUAAUUUUUUUAAAUUACCGUACUAUUGAGAAAAGUCCUAUAUACUAGGCCCAGGAAUAUGACUUCAGCCUUAGUUUAGGGAUAAUCUUUUUACAUAUUUCAUCAUUUUUGAAAGGAUUCAGACCUUUCUUUACCUUAGGAAAGGAGCACGUAAGAAAGUGAUGUUUGUUUUUUUACUUAAUUUUAAAUAGAACCUUAAUGCUUAAUAGUGUUGAAUAUUAAAUUGUUUUUAUAGAAUUUUAUUUUUAUGUAAAGAAAAACCAAUAUGUUAAUUUUUUUAUUUAGAAAAAGUUACAUAUUUUAGUUUUUUUUAAUAAAAAAUUUAUAAUAAGUUAUGAAAAAUAAAAAACCAAAUAACCUAAAUUUUAAAAACAAAUUAUUUUUAAUAAAAAACUAAAAAAAAUAUGGGACCAAAAAUACCAUGAAUGACCCAUCUAGCAGCAACAUACAAACAAGAGAUAAUGAGAGUAUAGAUUGCUCCUGGGCUUGAGAAAUAUUGUCUGUCAAUAUUCCAUUUAACAAAAUUAAGAGAAUUAUUAAAUAUACCGAUUUACCAAAAGUGGGUUAUAAUACCUUGAUUUGGAAAUAAAUAUAAAAUAGGAAGUCAUCUUUUAAUAAUCCAAAAUUCAUAAUAUCAUUUCAAAAUAUUUCAUAUUGGAUGCCCUAAGAGCUUAUGUGUCUUUAAGUUUCAAUAAUACCCUCCCUAACAAUAGUCUGACAAAAGGAAUUACAAAAGGUAAGUGAAUGAAUGGAAAUGGAGUUUUUUUCCUCAGGAAAAAGAUAAAGAAAUGAUGGGAACGUGGGAGAGUGGACCUGAGAAAAUGCCAUGAGAAUCAGAAGUUCUGAAAAUUGUAAUCGAUGAUCGGGUACUCAAUUCAAGAGAUUUCAUCGAACACAUCUCUCUCAGCUCCACUACAGAGAGGUCCUCGUGCACGUUUUACAUUAAGAGUUCUCUUCUAAAAGGUAAAUCAACGUCGUUUGCAUUUUCUGACUGUUUUUGUUUUCUUCUAAUUUUUGUCUUUAUUUCUCCUCCGUCAAUCCCACAUUCCCAAGAAAAAGAUUAAACAAUAAUCCUCACUAAUUGCCAAGAAAAAAAUAAAAUAAGACAUUGAUUUCAUAAAGAAAAAGAAACAUAUCAAGACCAAUUAUGGGUUAAAGGGUAAAAUUAAUGUUCCAGAUUUCCGCUUACUUCUGUCACUCUCCCAGCAACCAAACAGAAAUCCCAAAAACCCAUAACACAAAUUGUGAAAUAAAAAUUAAAAAAAAACAUUGGCCAAGAAACAAUAGCAAGAGCGUCACCGACAAUUAGGGUAAAAAUCAGACCAAAUCCAGAACGAAACAAACCGGAAAAGAUUAGAAAAAUUCUAGGGAAUUAAGGAACUGGAAAGGGGCAAGCAACCCAGAAAAUGAAAGGAAUUACUUAAAGGCAGUAGAAAAAACGAAAAGGAUCUCAACCUCAGUAACGGAAAAAACAUAACAAAAGAGGAAAAACAAAAUCCUUUCAAGAAAAUUUUGACUAUUAUUUUCUAGAGAACCCAAGAGAGAGAGAGAGAGAGAGAGCGCUUACCUAGGUUCCGGGUUUUUCAGAGUGAGGUGAGAGCCAUUGUCGGCGCCAGUGGAAACCAGAGCGGAGAGGACGAAGGUUACCUCUUAUUUUCUUUUUCUUGAUCAAUUUUUCAUUUUUUUUCUGAUACGAAAAAAGGAAAAAAAAAUUAGUGGGCGGAGAUGGCGGCCAUAUCCGAUUCCACCGUCCUUCACAAAUCGUAUGGAAAAAAAAAGAAGAAAAAAAGAUAAAUUACAACAGAAAUUCGAAGCUCAAGGCCUGCAAAAUUGCAGAUCUAGAAACGUGGAUCUCAACUUUCGUACAGAAGGUACAAAUCAACCAAAAGAGAAUAACAGAGAAAAGAAAACGAAGGAAAAUUUUGUGUACCUGUAUACAAGUUGAGAGAGAGAGAGAUGGACGCCGCCUUCAAUUCACGGCCAGCAUCACCAUUUCCUUGAUGGAUCAAUUUUUGGAAGAAAUUCAACAGUGAACAAGGAAACCCUCAGAUAUCCGGAGGAAGCACUCUCGCCUCCAAUUCCACUGCCGAGAUUCCGAGAAGAGGCUCUAACGUGUGCAUGUCCAUCUAUAGUCAUGCACGUGUUUUUAUGCCACGCGUUUCUGUGGCGCGUUGAUAUCACUGGCGUAAUUGACCAGACCUAGACAACCAAAAAAAAUUUGAAACCAGCCCACAAUACUUCCGAGUCUUGAACAAGCAGAAAAUAGAGAAUCUCAUAAAACGAUCCAUAGUUUCAUUAUCAUAAACUCUUGUAUACAUAGGAGUGAUAAAAGUUGCAGAUCUUUCAAAGCAAAAAAAUACAUAAUCUCAUAAACCAAACCAUAGUUUCAUUAUGCAUAUUACAAGUAGCAGAUCAAGUGCAUGGCAGCAGCAUUAAAAUAGAUAAUCUCAUAAAGCGAUAAUCCAUAGUUUCAUCCACCAUCAUCAUUGAUGAGUGGAUGGGGGGCAGCGCCGAUUGCCGCCUCCUUUGCCAAUGCCGAUGUGAGUGCAAGGAGAAGAAGCAGAUGGUGGAACAGGCCCCCGUGCCAUUACAACCGCCUCUUUGGAGCUGCUCUGAACCCUAGAACCUUCCACCGGAGCCAGGGUGAUCAGAAUCAGCCAGAGAUAGAGUGGUAUGGAGAUCCACUUCAUCACUUUCUUGAACGCAUUCAUGAUGGAAAGUCGGUGCUAUACAUACAGAGUACCAGUGUUAUAUAGAAGUCGAGCGUUGCAGCACCAACUCCCUCUUGUUCAAAAUAUUCUAUUUCAGUAUUUCCUGUCAACCCCCGCCGUAUAACUACGACUUUCGGGCCCCAACGAAUGUGAAAAGAGAAAUUACGUAUACACCUGGAUAUCCAAGUUGGCCCGCACGUGAAAAUUCAAGCCUUGCACUAUGGUGGACUUCUCUUCCACCUGACCUGGAAUUGUCUUAGCCCUAUUUCCCUUGUCUCCAUUCUUCUUAGAGGCUUUGGAUUCCCCUUCUUUGACUAGUCUUUUCUGUUGUUGCAACCCUUUCCUCUUCUACUCAUAGAAGACAAAAAAAUUUCUUAGAGGCUUUGGAUUCCCCUUCUUUGACUUGUCUUUGCUGUUGUUGCAACCCUUUUCCCUUCUACUCAUAGAAGACAACAUCUGAUCGAUAAUCAACUAGGCAAUCUGCUACCUCCAUGGCUGGAGGCAAGUCCUACACUCCUUGGCGUAUCAGCUCCGUUUGGGCCCAUCCUUACGACCCAAACAUGAAGUUGAACAACUUAUCAACUUCUGACAUGUCCUUGAUGUCGAGGAUCACCGAGCUGAACUCGUUGACAUAGUCUCUAACAGUUUUCGAUUGUUUUAAACUUUUAAGGGACUCAUGUGCCAUCCAAGCCGUAUUUGUGGGAAGGAAUUGAUCCUUCAACUCCUUUUUUAGGUCUCUGGCCUUCCAAUUCAGUAUUGUCAUUCGAUCUUGUGCGCCACCAUGAUUUUGCAUCUCUAGAGAGAUACAUGGUGAUGAGGGUCACUUGCUUGUUCAGAAGGAUAUGUGCAGCACCAAAAUACUGCUCCAUAUCCCAAAGAAAAAUUUUCAAAUCCUUACAAGAUAACACUUUUCAAGCCUCAAUCUAAAUGACAAUUAAGAACAAACAAACAAGUUAAAUAUUUGAAUGUAGAGAAACAUUAUAGAUAAUAUAAAUCUUAAUUUAUAAUUCAAAACAUGACUUCAAUUGAAAUUUUAUCUUCUUCAUUUUUUUGAGUAAAAAAUUUCUUAAAUAUCGGUGUUUCACUGCAACAUAUUUAAAGUCAAUAUAUUUUACUUUAAUUUUCCUCUAAUAUCUUAUGCCAAGGAUUUAAACCAGAUUUGGGAUUUAAAUUCUGUUAGAUGAAUGAAUGCAAACUUUAUAGACUCACAUAUUACUUCACUCUAAAUUUAAAUUAACAAUCCUAAAUGACAGGUUUAAUUCAUCUAAAACAUAUUGAAAUUAAGAGUCCAUUUAGUCGUAUGAUUUAAAAAUAGUUUUCUAUUUUUUAAAAACAAAAAAUUGUUUUUAAAAAUUCUUAAUAUCAUUUGGCGGUUGUUAUCUAAAAAUAAUUUUUGAAAGCAAAAUAAAAUAGAAAACACUUUUUAAAUAAGUAAAAAUUGUUUUCACCAAUUUUAAAAAAUAAAAAUAAAACAUAAAAAAUUUAAAAAAUAAAUAAAAUUGAAUAUGAUAUCAUUCCAUGUAGAUAUCGAAAAUAUUUAAAUAUGAUAUUCUUUUAAAUUACUUUUGUUAAUUUCUUUUAAUUUGUCUAAAAUUUUUCAUUAAAAAAUAAAUUUAAAAUCAAAUUAUAUUUGAUACAUAAAAUUAUUAUUUUUCAAAAAUAAUUUAAAACUAAAAAAUCCAUUGAAUUAAUACUAAAAAGUCAUGAAAUUCAAUAACAUGAAUAAAUCAUAAACUAAAAUUUAUUUUAAUUGUCUAUAUAUAUUACUACAAAUUAGGUAAGACUUAAUAUAUUGAAUUCAAUAAGUAGCUUAAUAAUUUUUAAAAAUAAUUUAAAAUUCAAAUAAUGAACCAAUUAAUACUAGAAAUCUAUGGGGUGUAGAACGACUUUAUUAUUUCUCUUUUAUAUAAAAUUAUUAUUUUAUGAUAACUCUAUUCAUUAAUGAGUCCAAUAAUUUUUUUUUAAAUAACUUAACAUUCAAAUAAUGAAUCAUUUAAUACCAUAAAUUCAUGGACAAAAAUGGGUCUUAAAUGACUCUAUUGUUUCUUUUUUAAUUUUUUUAAUCAAACAAAUAAACUCUAAAUUAAAUAUGAUUUAAUUUAUUGGAUUUAUUAAUAAGUUUAGUUAUUUUUAAAAAUAAUUUAAAACUCAAAUAAAAUACUCAUUAAGGCUAAAAAUUUAUGAAUAAAAAUUGAUUCAUAAUGACUAAUAUUUUUUUGACAUAAUUAUAUUUUUAUAAAUUUUCUCACUAUAAAAAUGAAUUUCAAAUUAAAUAACACUUUUUUUUUUAAAUUUUAAACGAUUUUUAAAUACAAGUUUUAGAAAAUGUGGCAGAUGUAACUGUUUAUUCAUCCAAACCCGAAGCUAGUAAUUUAUAUACCAUGGGAGCAAUGUACAGUAAACAUGAAAAAUGGGCAGCGCACGUGAUAAAAGGGUGUAUAUGAGAGCACAUGAUCAACGAGUUGAGGUGGUUGAGGCAUGCACACAAGGUAUGGGAUUGCUACAUCUUUUAUAUAUAUACUAGGCCCAGGAAUUUGACUUCAAAUAUAUACUUAACCUUAGUUUAGGGGUAAUCUUUUUACAUAUUUCAUCAUUUUGAAAGGAUUCAGACCCAUUCUAUACCAGAUUACCAGGCGUAGGAAAGGAAUAGGUCAGAAAAGACUAAAAGAAAAGAAAAAUCUAUACCCAACUCUGCAUCUAGAUUCUAGACCAGGUACAGAAUCAUUACAAAGGUGUAAAGUAAUCUACCUCGACAGUUUCAAUAUGGGACCAAAAAUACCAUGAAU
rnacentral:lncRNA from 1 species